CAGUCGCCGCGGGAAUACGAAGGGGGCUAGCGUUGUUCGGAAUUACUGGGCGUAAAGCGCACGUAGGCGGACAUUUAAGUCAGGGGUGAAAUCCCGGGGCUCAACCCCGGAACUGCCUUUGAUACUGGGUGUCUAGAGUAUGGAAGAGGUGAGUGGAAUUCCGAGUGUAGAGGUGAAAUUCGUAGAUAUUCGGAGGAACACCAGUGGCGAAGGCGGCUCACUGGUCCAUUACUGACGCUGAGGUGCGAAAGCGUGGGGAGCAAACAGGAUUAGAUACCCCCGUAGUCCCUGUCUCUUAUAA
rnacentral:rRNA from 1 species